CCACACAAUCCUAACCCUAGUUCCCAGCCCCCUCUACCCUUGCUCUCUUUCCUGCCCCGCCGCCAGCCUCCACCUCCCUCAGCGCCACCCAUGCCCAACCACCGCGUCCAGAUCCACGUCCCCCUCCCCCAGCACCACCCGUGCACAACCACCCGCUUGACGUCCUGCGUCCCCUCCUCCUCAACGCUUGCACCACGAUGGACACCAACAUCGUCGCCCUCACAGCCGCAUCGAAGAGGAACACACCCGUCUUUGACGCCGAGGAGGACCUCCCGGUCGCGUACUCCAAGUACACGCCGGAGCUCUCCGAGAAGCUUGCUGCCAAGCGACAUCUUUAGAGUCGUGCGCUCUGGCGGAUCCCUCAUCAGGCCGUCAGGAAGCUGGAGGACUGGCCGUACGUGAACUGACUGGAUCGGAGAAAUUGGCAGUUGUUCUUGGUGGAUGAGAGGGUCAUGAGCAUGAGUACUGUACCUACAAGGUCAUUCUAUAUGGUUUGUUCUCCCAAGAUCUAUCUUGACCAUUUCAUCUAAAUGCGGAACCAUCUUUUCAAGACAAGUGUACAGGCCACGUUUUACUACAGCAGGCUUGAAGUUAUCACCAUAGUGGCAUUGUGGAUUCAAAUAAUAUGCAGCAGCAUGCAGAGGUCUAUGAAGCUGUACAACCCAAAGUCAAAUAUGCAGUAGCAAAUCUUGUCACUGCUGGCCUAAUUAAAUCCUUUCCUCCGGUGAAUUCUCUCAACCAACUCACCACCUGCUUUAUAGUUAGCGGCAUUGUCCAGCAGGCUACACCAACACGUUAGGCUGAAGCUUCAAAGCAGUUCUCAGAAAUCAUGGCGAGGCAAAGACAUUGAAGAUGGAUUAGCCGAUGCAAGCAACUGCCAAUGGGAAAACUAAUUGCGAGCA